ACAAGUGAAUUGGAUGAAAUUCAGUCCACUGAAGUAGACUCAAGCGUAAUCCAGCUGGUCCAGGAGACCUUCCUAGGAAGAACAAAACCAGAAGGGAAGCCCAGAGGAUGUCUGCUGCUGCUAACCAACCUUGGCCUGCUGUUACAGCUAAGCUCUGUAACAGCUCUGUCUCCCGAGUUGCUGGAAAUGCCUCAUGUGCUUUCAGGCACUGCUCAACUGCCAGCGUCACAAAAUCUUUUCUCUGUUGGCGUAUACUCUGGAGAAGGCGAUGGGUAUGCUGUUCUUUGAGGAAAGUGGUAUUGCGUUUGAAAAGAUGGCAACAGGCUAAAAUCUAUUGGGUAGUCUGGAGUGUUGAACUGAAUGUGAACAAUUGGCUACGGAGGAGAAGAAGAAUGAAAAAGACAGGAAGAUAAACACUGGAAGAACAUUUUGAUAGAAUAAAAGGCCCUUUGCAGAUUGCUUUCGCCA
rnacentral:lncRNA from 1 species